UCACACUAGGGACUUGACUUAAGAAAAAAAAAUUAUUAUUGAAAGGGAAAUAACAUACUUGAAAGGGAAAUAAACAUACUGAUAGGAAAUCUUAACAUGAAUGAAACAAAGUUUUCCCCCCUACACUUAAAUAAAACAUUGUCCCCAAUGUUUCAAAAAAAGCGAAAAAAAGGAAAAAAUGGUACCCAAACUCAAUUCUGCCUGCGUCCUCUUGUUCUCGGACCCUGUGAUCGUUCACGUACUGCCAAGUCAUCAAACCUGUUAAGCAAGUCAGUGAACCUCUGGUCGGUUAUUG
rnacentral:lncRNA from 1 species